UCAGAUCCUCCUGCGCAUCAAAAAGAUGCACGUGGGAAACGUUACUGACAUUUAAAAUACUCCAUUAAGUCACCUGAAUAAAACUGUACAUCAAGGAAAUUAUGAAAAGGCUUCUCAAUGACUUCCAGUGAAAACAUUCUUUAUUGGUAAGCACACACUUAAAACUUUCUUGAUUACACACAUCAUGCAAAACUGAUGUCACACAUGGUUGUUUAUUGUAACAAUCUCUUCUAAUGGAAUUAUAAAUUUUAAAAAGUUACAGUGACUGCAAUAGUAAAAAGAAUUCAGAACUCUGAAGGAAGCAAACACUUUGUAGAACACUUGUAAAAGUAAUGUUCAUCCCUCUGGCUGUUUAAUUCUCCCUCCCAACAAGAAUCUAUUUUGGAAAACUAUUAUAUACAAGAACGGCAGUCAUUCAUGUAUGUGCAUCCUCAGGCACUCCACCUGACUAAAAAGAAACUACAAGAAUAAAACUUCAAAUAAUUUUACAGGUUCUCUCCAUUUUGUUAAUCUAAAACAGGGCAAUGCCCUUAUUUAAAAUGUUCACCUGUUGCAGGAGAUUAUUUCCAUACAGAUAUGACUCUGCUCCUUGGAAGCGUAGCUUACAACUGGUAACCCUUCUGUGCGGAGACUGACGGACUGAACUGUCACGUCUGCAUUCUCCAGGUUGUUUCCAACCAGUGGGAAGGAACAGAGCUUCCCAUUCUGAGAAGUCUUAGGAAUACGCUGCUUCUGACACCGAGCACGAGUUUUCUCUGCGGUGGUGAGGCCAACACUGGCAGGUGAGUGGGUCUGGGAGCCCUCCCACUGUCCGCCUCACAUAGGCAAAUUCAGCUCCUUGAAGUGAAGCCCCCAGUGAAACGUGACACCCAAAGCUCCUACUGGCACAUUCAGGUCAACUGGCAGAGUGGAGUUUUCCAGAG
rnacentral:lncRNA from 1 species